UCCUGAACUCCUGGCAUGAAGAAUAGCUACAGGAAAGGCUGACACAGCCUGACUUUUCCCUGUACACGUGGCUUCCUUGUCAGUUUCUAUUAUCACACACUUCUUUCUUCAGGAAUAAGGUGCCAGUGAGCUGAAGAUCAAACAAACAACACUGAAUAUGAAGGACUUGGAGAAAUGAUACGUCCUACAAGUUCCCGCCAAUGGGCACCAUUUCUCCUGGACUGAGGAACAAGUUUAUUCUCAAGAAAAAGAAAGGCUGACCUGGCAUCUGAGGUGGUUGGAAAAGUUUACUGCCAAGGAUUUUAGAGUGGGACCAGCUUUCUGCAUACCGAGGCAGUUAUCUGAAGGAUCCAGGAUUGCUUCUUUCACCAGCCUCCACCUCUCAGCUUUUCU